rnacentral:rRNA from 1 species
CGCCCCCUGUUAGUAACGAAAUCAUUUAUAGAUAGUUUUUAAGAUAGGGGGUCUGACCUGCCCGGUGACGUAAAGUUAAACGGCUGCGAUUUUAGAUCGUACUAAGGUAGCAUAAUAAUUUGCCCUUUAAUUGGGGGCUAGUAUGAAUGGUUUGACGAGAGCCAAGCUGUCUCUUUUUAAAUUUUUAGAAAUUAACUUUUAGGUGAAGAGGCCUAAUAUUUUACUGAGGGACGAGAAGACCCUAUUGAGCUUAAGCGAAGUAAUAAAUCUUUAUAUAAAAACAUGCCAAAUAUAAAUAGGGCAGAGGUUUUUAUCAAUUAGAAAUUUAAAGAAUUUAUUAUUAAUCUUUAGCUGGGACGGCUGGGGAAUACAAAUAACUUCCCUGAAAAUAGCUACCAAUGCAAAUUUCAUGUUAAUGAGGACCCAAUUAUUAUUGAUCAGCGGAAAAAGUUACCAUAGGGAUAACAGCGUGAUCUCUCUAGAGAGCUCUUAUCGAAGGAGGGGAUUACGACCUCGAUGUUGGACUAAGAUAUCCCAGGGGUGCAGAAGCUCCUGACGGUUGGUCUGUUCGACCAUUAAAAUCUUACA